rnacentral:rRNA from 1 species
AGAGUUUGAUCCUGGCUCAGGACGAACGCUGGCGGCGUGCCUAAUACAUGCAAGUAGAACGCUGAAGACUUUAGCUUGCUAGAGUUGGAAGAGUUGCGAACGGGUGAGUAACGCGUAGGUAACCUGCCUACUAGCGGGGGAUAACUAUUGGAAACGAUAGCUAAUACCGCAUAACAGUGUUUAACACAUGUUAGAUGCUUGAAAGAUGCAAUUGCAUCACUAGUAGAUGGACCUGCGUUGUAUUAGCUAGUUGGUGGGGUAACGGCCUACCAAGGCGACGAUACAUAGCCGACCUGAGAGGGUGAUCGGCCACACUGGGACUGAGACACGGCCCAGACUCCUACGGAGCAGCAGUAGGGAAUCUUCGGCAAUGGGGGCAACCUGACCGAGCAACGCCGCGUGAGUUAAGAGGUUUCGGAUCGUAAACUCUGUUGUAAGAGAAGAACGUGUGUGAUAGUGGAAGUUCACACAGUGACGGUAACUUACCAGAAAGGGACCGCUAACUACGUGCCAGCAGCCGCGGUAAU